CAAUAGCGUAUAUUAAAGUUGUUGCGGUAAAAAAGCUCGUAGUUGGAUUUCUACCGAAGAUAGCCGGUCGGGUCUUCGACCUUGUAUCUGGUUUUGUCUUUGGUAUCCUCAUAGGGAACGUUUCUGCGCUUUAUUGCGUGGUGCGGUAUCUAUGACUUUUGCUUUGAGGAAAUUAGAGUGUUCACGGCAGGCAAACGCCUUGAAUAUAUUAGCAUGGAAUAAUAACAUAGGAUCUUCGUCCUAUUUUGUUGGUUUCUAGGGCUAAGAUAAUGAUUAAUAGGGAUAAUUGGGGGCAUCUGUAUCAACGCGUCAGAGGUGGAAUUCUUGGAUUGCGUUGCGACAAACUACUGCGAAAGCAUUUGCCAAGGAUGUUUUCAUUGA
rnacentral:rRNA from 1 species